rnacentral:rRNA from 1 species
ACGCUGGCGGCAGGCCUAACACAUGCAAGUCGAGCGGAAACGACAUCAUUGAAUCUUCGGAGGAUUUAAUGGGCGUCGAGCGGCGGACGGGUGAGUAAUGCCUAGGAAAUUGCCUUGAUGUGGGGGAUAACCAUUGGAAACGAUGGCUAAUACCGCAUAAUGCCUACGGGCCAAAGAGGGGGAUCUUCGGGCCUCUCGCGUCAAGAUAUGCCUAGGUGGGAUUAGCUAGUUGGUGAGGUAAUGGCUCACCAAGGCGACGAUCCCUAGCUGGUCUGAGAGGAUGAUCAGCCACACUGGAACUGAGACACGGUCCAGACUCCUACGGGAGGCAGCAGUGGGGAAUAUUGCACAAUGGGCGAAAGCCUGAUGCAGCCAUGCCGCGUGUAUGAAGAAGGCCUUCGGGUUGUAAAGUACUUUCAGUUGUGAGGAAGGGUGURWMGUUAAUAGCKKYRYMUCUUGACGUUAGCAACAGAAGAAGCACCGGCUAACUCCGUGCCAGCAGCCGCGGUAAUACGGAGGGUGCGAGCGUUAAUCGGAAUUACUGGGCGUAAAGCGCAUGCAGGUGGUUCAUUAAGUCAGAUGUGAAAGCCCGGGGCUCAACCUCGGAACUGCAUUUGAAACUGGUGAACUAGAGUGCUGUAGAGGGGGGUAGAAUUUCAGGUGUAGCGGUGAAAUGCGUAGAGAUCUGAAGGAAUACCAGUGGCGAAGGCGGCCCCCUGGACA